GGCCGCGGGAAUUCGAUUCAGGCCUAACACAUGCAAGUCGAACGAUGAAGCUGGAGCUUGCUCCGGUGGAUUAGUGGCGAACGGGUGAGUAACACGUGAGAAAUCUGCCCUUGACUCUGGGAUAACUGCGGGAAACUGUAGCUAAUACCGGAUACUUUCCUUGGUGGGCAUCCACUGGGGAAGAAAGAAUUUCGGUCAAGGAUGAUCUCGCGGCCUAUCAGCUAGUUGGUGAGGUAAUGGCUCACCAAGGCGACGACGGGUAGCCGGCCUGAGAGGGUGACCGGCCACACUGGGACUGAGACACGGCCCAGACUCCUACGGGAGGCAGCAGUGGGGAAUAUUGCACAAAAGGGGCAAGCCUGAUGCAGCAACGCCGCGUGAGGGAUAAAAACGAUCGGGUUGUAAACCUCUUUAGCAGGGAAGAAGCGAAA
rnacentral:rRNA from 1 species